rnacentral:rRNA from 1 species
GACUACUGGGGUAUCUAAGCCUGUUUGCUACCCACGCUUUCGCUCCUCAGUGUCAGUACCGGCCCAGAGCGCCGCCUUCGCCGCUGGUGUUCCUCCUGAUAUCUGCGCAUUUCACCGCUACACCAGGAAUUCCACGCUCCCCUACCGGACUCUAGCCAAAGCAGUAUCGGGUGGAGACCCAGGUUGAGCCUGGGGAUUUGACACCCGACUUACUUAGCCACCUACGAGCUCUUUACGCCCAAUAAAUCCGGACAACGCUUGCCCCCUACGUGUUACCGCGGCUGCUGGCACGUAGUUAGCCGGGGCUUCUUCUGCAGGUACCGUCAAUUUCGUCCCUGCUGAAAGGGGUUUACAACCCGAGAGCCUUCAUCCCCCACGCGGCGUUGCUGCGUCAGGCUUUCGCCCAUUGCGCAAGAUUCCCCACUGCAGCCCCCCGUAGG